GAUUAAUGUCGGCAGUGUGCCUAACACAUGCAAGUCGAACGCCCCGCAAGGGGAGUGGCAGACGGGUGAGUAACGCGUGGGAAUCUACCCAUCCCUACGGAAUAACGCAUGGAAACGUGUGCUAAUACCGUAUACGCCCUACGGGGGAAAGAUUUAUCGGGGAUGGAUGGGCCCGCGUCUGAUUAGCUAGUUGGUGAGGUAAAGGCUCACCAAGGCGACGAUCAGUAGCUGGUCUGAGAGGAUGAUCAGCCACAUUGGGACUGAGACACGGCCCAAACUCCUACGGGAGGCAGCAGUGGGGAAUCUUGCGCAAUGGGCGAAAGCCUGACGCAGCCAUGCCGCGUGAAUGAUGAAGGUCUUAGGGUUGUAAAAUUCUUUCACCGGGGACGAUAAUGACGGUACCCGGAGAAGAAGCCCCGGCUAACUUCGUGCCAGCCGCCGCGGUAA
rnacentral:rRNA from 1 species